UGCUCAGUUGAUGUUGGUUCCUCGUGCCGUGUGGUUCGCAUUGUGGCAAUCAGUUCGCAGUGGACGCGUUCGAAAUUGAGCUGUGGGAAAAUCAACUUUUCAAGAAAUUAGCUAUGGAUAUGAACAAGCGAAUUGUCAACAUGGAUUCAAUUAACACAAAUAAACACAUGAAAAAGCAUAAUCAGUAAAAAAUACAGGAAAAAAACCGCAACAUAAAGAGCGCAUAAAUAUAUUUAUAAAGCGACAGCCCAAAAGCAAAAGUAAAAGCACAGUCAACUCUUUGACUCUUCAGCCGAAUUGUCAACUGUAAAAUCGAAAGAGAGCAACGAAAAGAGAGUGCGCGAGCGCACUUUGCUUUUGUUUACACGCCCAUUUGUGCGUUGAAGCAGUGAUUGCAACCAGAAGUGCACAAUAAAAGCAAAUAUUUACCCAAACUAAGCAAUAAAUCAAUUGAGCAAUUAAUUAAAUAACUUUUAACAGAAACGGUAAACUAUUAUUGAAGCGGCUUUACAGCAGCCGGAGGAAAUUCCAACAAAGAGUUUGCGCAUACAUAUACAAAGAGAGACAGAGCGAGUGAGAGAGAGCAAGCACAGUUGCUAUUGCACUGAGAGGGCGCAUACUGGCGGCUGGUCGAAAAUAUACGCACGAAGACAUACGAACACACACACUCAUACAAAUAUACGUCAACAAAUUUCGUUGAGUGCUCCAAAGUCGCGUGCUUAGCUCUGUUGGCGCUGUGCCGCUGCCUUCCAGAUAGAAAUUGAGUCUCUCGCGUGACACAACGUGCGUCCAAACGAGCGGAAAGUUUUCUUUAGUGUGUGCUCUCUGUGUUAAAGUUUGCUCUGUUUUUCUUUCUUUGCUUUUGGUUGCUCAUUCGCUUGAGUAGCAUUAGCAGCAGGCGCAGGCAGAGCAGCAUUUGAGUAAUCGCCGCCUCCCCAACGAAACCGCAGUCGGUCAUUGAAAGCUAAAAAAAAAAAUUGUUUUGUCUGUGUGGAAAUUGGCAUUGCUAACCGUGGUAAAGCUUAAGCGUCCAACUUACAAAGCAAAUAAACAUUUUAUAAAUAAACGUGCGCAAUAAAUAAACAAAAGCCAAACUUUUAAGUGCGAGUGUAAAAUAUCGAUUUUUGUGAACAGCAAACGCGUCGAUGACCUCGACGACGGUGACAGCCACGGCUACAACGGUAUAAAAGCAAAAGCUGUGUAAGCGAACAAGAGAGAGAGAGAGAGGCUAACAAGCUAACGCUUUUUGCCCAAAUCCAAUUGAGCCACGUUUUACAUAAUUGCCCAAGCGCAUAAAGCAACAACAAAGGCAACAACAACAAUAAGA